rnacentral:rRNA from 1 species
UACGUAGGGCGCAAGCGUUGUCCGGAAUUAUCGGGCGUAAAGAGCUCGUAGGCGGCUUGUCACGUCGGGUGUGAAAGCCCGGGGCUUAACCCCGGGUCUGCAUUCGAUACGGGCAGGCUAGAGUGUGGUAGGGGAGAUCGGAAUUCCUGGUGUAGCGGUGAAAUGCGCAGAUAUCAGGAGGAACACCGGUGGCGAAGGCGGGACUCUGGGCCGAUACUGACGCUGAGGAGCGAAAGCGUGGGGAGCAAACAGG